rnacentral:tRNA from 2 species
GCGGGUGUAGCUCAAUGGUAGAGCGUCAGCCUUCCAAGCUGAAUGUUGUCGGUUCGAGCCCGUCCACCCGCU